rnacentral:rRNA from 1 species
GACGAACGCUGGCGGCGUGCUUAACACAUGCAAGUCGAACGGAAAGGCCCUGCUUUUGUGGGGUGCUCGAGUGGCGAACGGGUGAGUAACACGUGAGUAACCUGCCCUUGACUUUGGGAUAACUUCAGGAAACUGGGGCUAAUACCGGAUAGGAGCUCCUGCUGCAUGGUGGGGGUUGGAAAGUUUCGGCGGUUGGGGAUGGACUCGCGGCUUAUCAGCUUGUUGGUGGGGUAGUGGCUUACCAAGGCUUUGACGGGUAGCCGGCCUGAGAGGGUGACCGGCCACAUUGGGACUGAGAUACGGCCCAGACUCCUACGGGAGGCAGCAGUGGGAAUAUUGCACAAUGGGCGGAAGCCUGAUGCAGCAACGCCGCGUGCGGGAUGACGGCCUUCGGGUUGUAAACCGCUUUCGCCUGUGACGAAGCGUGAGUGACGGUAAUGGGUAAAGAAGCACCGGCUAACUACGUGCCAGCAGCCGCGGUGAUACGUAGGGUGCGAGCGUUGUCCGGAUUUAUUGGGCGUAAAGGGCUCGUAGGUGGUUGAUCGCGUCGGAAGUGUAAUCUUGGGGCUUAACCCUGAGCGUGCUUUCGAUACGGGUUGACUUGAGGAAGGUAGGGGAGAAUGGAAUUCCUGGUGGAGCGGUGGAAUGCGCAGAUAUCAGGAGGAACACCAGUGGCGAAGGCGGUUCUCUGGGCCUUUCCUGACGCUGAGGAGCGAAAGCGUGGGGAGCGAACAGGCUUAGAUACCCUGGUAGUCCACGCUGUAAACGGUGGGUACUAGGUGUGGGGUCCAUUCCACGGGUUCCGUGCCGUAGCUAACGCUUUAAGUACCCCGCCUGGGGAGUACGGCCGCAAGGCUAAAACUCAAAGGAAUUGACGGGGCCCCGCACAAGCGGCGGAGCAUGCGGAUUAAUUCGAUGCAACGCGUAGAACCUUACCUGGGUUUGACAUGGAUCGGAAGCGCUCAGAGAUGGGUGUGCCUCUUUUGGGGUCGGUUCACAGGUGGUGCAUGGCUGUCGUCAGCUCGUGUCGUGAGAUGUUGGGUUAAGUCCCGCAACGAGCGCAACCCUUGUUCACUGUUGCCAGCACGUUAUGGUGGGGACUCAGUGGAGACCGCCGGGGUCAACUCGGGGGAAGGUGGGGAUGACGUCAAGUCAUCAUGCCCCUUAUGUCCAGGGCUUCACGCAUGCUACAAUGGCUGGUACAGAGAGUGGCGAGCCUGUGAGGGUGAGCGAAUCUCGGGAAGCCGGUCUCAGUUCGGAUUGGGGUCUGCAACUCGACCUCAUGAAGUCGGAGUCGCUAGUAAUCGCAGAUCAGCAACGCUGCGGUGAAUACGUUCCCGGG